UUUCCCUCGUGAUCUUUGCUAAACCGUGGAAGCAAACUGACCUGCUCUUUCUCUCUCCUCUCUCCACCCUCUGCCUGCUUCCCUGCUGCAGCUUUUGCUCGUGGAAGAUCAGAGCAAAGUGACAAGGAACGGCUGCGGAUUCGUGAGAUUUCUCUCCCUCGUUCUGAUCUCUUGCCAGUUCCAGCUUGUCACACCUACGCUGAUGGCUGUGGCGUGCAGCGAGAUCAGCUGUGGGCCUGACCUGGCAUGGACAGAGGUAGAG